GACGAACGCUGGCGGCGUGCUUAACACAUGCAAGUCGAACGCAGUGGCGAACGGGUGAGUAACACGUGCGUAACCUGCCCCCUUCUUUGGGAUAACGCCCGGAAACGGGUGCUAAUACUGGAUAGUGGGGGAUGGGCUCGCGGCCUAUCAGCUUGUUGGUGGGGUGAUGGCCUACCAAGGCUUUGACGGGUAGCCGGCCUGAGAGGGUGACCGGUACCAUUGGGACUGAGCUACGGCCCAGACUCCUACGCGAGGCAGCAUUGGGGACUAUUGCCCAAUGGGCGAAAGCCUGAUGCAGCGACGCCGCGUGAGGGAUGACGGCCUUCGGGUUGUAAACCUCUUUCGCUCAUUGUCGGGUAGUGGGUAAAGAAGCGCCGGCUAACUACGUGCCAGCCGCCGCGUAAUUC
rnacentral:rRNA from 1 species